CUGGACUUACGUCAGACUCCAACAAAUAAACAAGACACAGGAAACCAACUGCCAAUCGCUGGACUGAUGUCAGACUCCAACAAACAAACAAGACACAGGAAACCAACUGCCAUACGACCAAUCGCUGGACUUACGUCAGACUCCAACAAAUAAACAAGACACAGGAAACCAACUGCCAAUCGCUGGACUGAUGUCAGACUCCAACAAACAAACAAGACACAGGAAACCAACUGCCAUACGCUGGACUUAUGUCAGACUCCUAACAAAGAAACACAGACAGGAAACCAACUGCCAAUCGCUGGACUUAUGUCAGACUCCACACAAACAGGCAAACACACACAAAGGGGGUUGAAAAAGAAA
rnacentral:lncRNA from 1 species